rnacentral:lncRNA from 1 species
ACUGUACAAACUUCUCCAUUCUUAAAAAAUAAAAUUCACUCCAAAAGGGACCCUAUUAUUUGGAAUUUCCCACAUAAUAUAGGAAAAAUUAACAGUCCCAACACCUUGAAUAACACUAAAGACUUCAUCUCGAUUAAAAACAGGAAGCUCUAUCAGAAUCUAAAGUACAUCCUGCAAAAAUUAAUUAUCAGUUGUAAAAAACAUGGAAUUUCUCAAACAAACUUAUUUAUAAAAAUCAAUUAAUAAAUAAUUUUAAUUUACUGUUGGAAAUUCAAAAAUGGUUAUACAUGGCCAGUGAAGCAGUUGUUUCCAGACCAUGAAAAAUAAUUGAUUGAUAUUUUAUCAUCCCACUAAAUAGAAACUAAAGCAUUCUAUACUCCAUAAAAACAUCUUAAGUUGAGGGCCAUUGGAAGUUAAAAACAUCUGCAACCCAUUGCGUCGUCCAUAAAAUGAUCAAAAUAUAAAAAAGAUCAAAACCUUGAAAACUUCACUUGCGUCGUCAUUCUUAUCUCUACCUCAUAAAAUUAAACCACUUUACCCCGUCAUGUAAUAGAGAAAGGAAAUAAAAUAAGAACCCCAUUAUUUAGUUUCUGCAGUUGUCUUGACUUCCUAAUUAUGAAUGCAAUUAAUAAGCAUCCCUCGACCACUGGUGCAUUCAUAGUCAUUCAACAAAAAGUUAUGUUUAUAUUACCAAAAAUAAUACUCAUCUCAACAAAACACAAGUUUAAACCUUUUCAUCUUUCUUAUUCUUUUUUUUCUAACAACAGCUAAGAACGCCUCUUAAUUAUAUCUGGAGAUUGAUCAAUUUACAGAUUGUAUAUAUACAGUUGUAUUUAGCUAAAUCAAAAUUAAACCUGAGUUGGAAUGUCGUUUAGGACCAUCUCCUGCAUUAAUAGUUGAAAAAUUAGUAGUGACAGCUGCUCUUCCAGCAGCACCACAAGUGUGUCAAACAAUAAUCAGAACAACCUUUACCAUUUUAAUGAUAUCUGCAAAAUAAACUCAAUUAUAAUAACCCACAAUCUUGAUUAUGUUUCCUCGACCAUACUAUUAUAACUCUCGUUAUCCUCAUAUUUAUAUUAACGGAUAAAUAUUUAAGAGAAAACCAAAAUACUUUUCUUGGAUACUGGAAGUGGAUGUAAUCAAAAUAUUGCACUAUCUAAAAGAGCAACAAAUAACAUUCAAUUCAUGAGUUCUAAUUAUCAAACAUAUAUAAAGCAGGAAAAUUUUUAAAAGAAAGAGAGGAUUAGGGUUAGGUAGUGGAAAAAAUUAUUCAUGUUGAACAGUAAGGGAUUCAUAAUCUGUGUGUACCCGAGCUUGAGGCAUACCUAAUCGAAAAUCAGGGAUUGAUAGUUGCUGAUUAAGAAGGUAAUGGAAAUAGGGAAGACCAUUGGAAGCGAAUCCGCUUUGUUGUUUCUUUUUCACUUUAAGUGCUUGUAACUGAAGGGUGGAAUAAUUGCUCUGAAACGUGGUUGUUUGAGACCAUUUGGGGAAUUUGCACUGAAACGUGCUGGUUUGAAACGGAUAGGGGAUGUUGGAAUAUUACUUCAUUGGAAAAAUUGAUA